AUUGAACGCUGGCGGCAGGCUUAACACAUGCAAGUCGAGCGGGGAAAGGUAGCUUGCUACUGGACCUAGCGGCGGACGGGUGAGUAAUACUUAGGAAUCUGCCUAUUAGUGGGGGACAACGUUCCGAAGGGAGCGCUAAUACCGCAUACGCCCUACGGGGGAAAGGCAGGGGAUCACUUGUGACCUUGCGCUAAUAGAUGAGCCUAAGUCGGAUUAGCUAGUUGGUGGGGUAAAGGCCUACCAAGGCGACGAUCUGUAGCGGGUCUGAGAGGAUGAUCCGCCACACUGGGACUGAGACACGGCCCAGACUCCUACGGGAGGCAGCAGUGGGGAAUAUUGGACAAUGGGGGGAACCCUGAUCCAGCCAUGCCGCGUGUGUGAAGAAGGCCUUUUGGUUGUAAAGCACUUUAAGCGAGGAGGAGAGGCCCUAGGUUAAUACCCUAGGUGCUUGGACGUUACUCGCAGAAUAAGCACCGGCUAACUCUGUGCCAGCCGCCGCGGUAAU
rnacentral:rRNA from 1 species